AUACUUAUCUGACAGGGAAGAUACAAAGACCACAAAGGUGUUUUUCCUAGAGUAAAGCUUAUCUAUUGCACUCCAGAUGUGCUGCCCCCUGUGAUUUCUCCAAAUGUGAACAACUCAACUGCUUAAUUUGUGAUAAUGAAGGACUGUGUUGGCAUUCUCCCCUA